rnacentral:tRNA from 1 species
GUGGCGCUGGACGACGGCCUCGCCUUCAGCCCGUGGCACGGCCUGGCGGCGCACCGGCCGCUCGGCUCGAUCAUGCGGGCGCGCCGGGC